UACGGAGGGAGCUAGCGUUGUUCGGAAUUACUGGGCGUAAAGCGCGCGUAGGCGGCUUUGUAAGUUAGAGGUGAAAGCCCGGGGCUCAACCCCGGAACUGCCUUUAAGACUGCAUCGCUUGAAUCCGGGAGAGGUGAGUGGAAUUCCGAGUGUAGAGGUGAAAUGCGUAGAUAUCUGGAGGAACACCGGUGGCGAAGGCGGCAUCCUGGACCGAGAUUGACGCUGAGGCACGAAAGCGUGGGGAGCAACAGG
rnacentral:rRNA from 1 species